GACGAACGCUGGCGGCGUGCCUAAUACAUGCAAGUUGAGCGCUGAAGGUUGGUACUUGUACCAACUGGAUGAGCAGCGAACGGGUGAGUAACGCGUGGGGAAUCUGCCUUUGAGCGGGGGACAACAUUUGGAAACGAAUGCUAAUACCGCAUAAAAACUUUAAACACAAGUUUUAAGUUUGAAAGAUGCAAUUGCAUCACUCAAAGAUGAUCCCGCGUUGUAUUAGCUAGUUGGUGAGGUAAAGGCUCACCAAGGCGAUGAUACAUAGCCGACCUGAGAGGGUGAUCGGCCACAUUGGGACUGAGACACGGCCCAAACUCCUACGGGAGGCAGCAGUAGGGAAUCUUCGGCAAUGGACGAAAGUCUGACCGAGCAACGCCGCGUGAGUGAAGAAGGUUUUCGGAUCGUAAAACUCUGUUGGUAGAGAAGAACGUUGGUGAGAGUGGAAAGCUCAUCAAGUGACGGUAACUAACCAGAAAGGGACGGCUAACUACGU
rnacentral:rRNA from 1 species